GAGUUUGAUCCGUGGCUCAGAUUGAACCGCUGGUGGCAGGCCUAACACAUGCAAGUCGAGCGGCAUCGAGUGAGCGCAGUUUACUGAGUUCAUGUCGGCGAGCGGCGGACGGGUGAGUAAAGUCUGGGAAUCUGGCCGAAGGAGGGGGAUAACUGCUGGAAACGGCAGCUAAUACCGCAUGAAGUCGCGAGACCAAAGUGGGGGACCUUCUGGCCUCACGCCUUCGGAUGAGCCCAGAUGAGAUUAGCUGGUAGGUAAGGUAAAGGCUUACCUAGGCGACGAUCUCUAGCGGGUCUGAGAGGAUAGCCCGCCACACUGGAACUGAGACACGGUCCAGACUCCUACGGGAGGCAGCAGUGGGGAAUAUUGCACAAUGGGCGAAAGCCUGAUGCAGCCAUGCCACGUGUGUGAAGAAGGCCU
rnacentral:rRNA from 1 species